rnacentral:rRNA from 1 species
UACGAGGGGGGCGAGCGUUGUUCGGAAUUAUUGGGCGUAAAGGGUGCGUAGGCGGUUUGGUAAGUCUGAUGUGAAAUCUAUGGGCUCAAACUCAUAGUCUGCAUCGGAAACUGCCGGGCUUGAGUGUGGGAGAGGUGAGUGGAAUUCCUGGUGUAGCGGUGAAAUGACGUAGAUAUCAGGAGGAACACCUGUGGCGAAAGCGGCUCACUGGACCAUAACUGACGCUGAUGCACGAAAGCUAGGGGAGCAAACAGG